UAUUUCAGAAUCAUCUGGAGGAAAACUGAAGUAAUGCACAAUGGCCAUGUAGUUCCACCACAUCAAAAACUCACAAGGAAAGUAGUGGACACUUCUGAUACUAUCUUUCUGACUAAGAUGGACGAUACUGCUCUCAACUGAUGAGCCCAUCGUGUCUUCCCUUUCCACUUCUAACAAAUCCUGUUAUUAAAAGGGGUGCAGCAGAGA